CGCCAUAUGUUGCAUCAUUUCCUUGAUCUGAAUAUUUUUAGUCUUCAACAAAAAAACGUGACUAUACAAGAUGUAGCUUUGAAUCGUCAUGAGUGGAGGAAACUUGUUAAUCCAGACUUCAAUUACGUAAGGGAGACUGUACGUUAGAAGUAGGUUCAUUUUGUGGUUAGGUUUAAGUUUGAGGAACAGAGUUAGGACUAUAUAUGGUUGAGGUUUAAGUUUGAGGAACAGAGUUAGGACUAUAUAUGGUUAGGUUUAAGUUUGAGGAACAGAGUUAGGACUAUAUAUGGUUGAGGUUUAAGUUUGAGGAACAGCGUUAGGACUAUAUAUGGUUAGGCCAAAAAAAAAUAUAUGUCUGCUUCCUGUUUCCCGACCGACCCUGACUCAACCCCCCCCCCCCCCCCCCCGACCCUAGAUCUUUUUAUUCAAAUCCGGAAAAAAAUCGUUUCCGGUCCGAAAAAAUUCAUUUCCGGUCCGAUCCAGAUCCGUAUUUUACUAUGCCCAAACAAUCAAAAUGGC
rnacentral:lncRNA from 1 species